rnacentral:rRNA from 1 species
CGGGUGAGUAAUGCGUGACCAACCUCGCCCCAUGCUCCAGAAUAGCUCUUGGAAACGGGUGGUAAUGCUGGAUGCUCCAACUUGACGCAUGUCUUGUUGGGAAAGUGUUUAGUGGCAUGGGAUGGGGUCGCGUCCUAUCAGCUUGUAGGCGGGGUAAUGGCCCACCUAGGCUUCGACGGGUAGCCGGCCUGAGAGGGCGGACGGCCACAUUGGGACCUGAGAUAGGGCCCCAGACUCCUACGGGAGGCAGCAGGAA